rnacentral:rRNA from 1 species
CGCCUCUUGCUAACAAAGGAAGUACUAGAGGUCCCGCCUGCCCUGUGACCACAAAGUUUAACGGCCGCGGUAUCCUGACCGUGCGAAGGUAGCGUAAUCAUUUGUCUUUUAAAUAGAGACCUGUAUGAAUGGCAUAACGAGGGUUUAACUGUCUCCUUCCCCUAGUCAAUGAAAUUGAUCUGCCCGUGCAGAAGCGGACAUAAACACAUAAGACGAGAAGACCCUAUGGAGCUUUWGACAAAWGAUCAAACAUGUAAAGAAACCAAACCAACCAAAAGGAACACGAAGGCCACAAAACCCAACGUAAACUGAUCUAAAUGUCUUCGGUUGGGGCGACCAUGGGGGAAAGAAAAGCCCCCACGAGGAACAGGGACAACCCCUAAACUAAGAGAGACACCU